rnacentral:rRNA from 1 species
UGAGUAACGCGUAGUUAUCUGCCCCAGGGUUGGGAAUAGCCUCGGGAAACUGAGGGUAAUGCCCAAUAAUAUCUCCGGAUCAAAGGUGUGAUUCCGCCCUGGGAGGAGACUGCGUACUACUAGCUUGUUGGUGGGGUAAAGGCCUACCAAGGCGACGAUGGUUAGCGGGCGUGAGAGCGUGGCCCGUCACACUGGGACUGAGACACUGCCCAGACACCUACGGGUGGCUGCAGUCGAGAAUCUUCGGCAAUGCGCGAAAGCGUGACCGAGCAAUGCCGCGUGCGGGAUGAAGGCCCUCGGGUUGUAAACCGCGAAAGUGAGGAGGAAGGCCCCGUGAAGAGCGGGUUUUGACCAAUCCACAGUAAGGACGGGCUAAGUUCGUGCCAGCAGCCGCGGUAACACGAACCGUCCAAACGUUAUUCGGAAUCAUUGGGCUUAAAGGGUGCGUAGGCGGUGCGUUAAGUCGGGUGUGAAAUCCCUCAGCUCAACUGAGGAACUGCGCCCGAUACUGACGUGCUUGAGGGAGACAGAGGUGAGCGGAACUGAUGGUGGAGCGGUGAAAUGCGUUGAUAUCAUCAG